UCUUUAAAAAAUUAGAGCUUUUCGGCCCGCUCCCCCCUCCCCCCGAGCGCCGCUCCGGCUGCACCACGCUCACGCCGAGCUCCGUGCUCCUGCUCAGGCAGCGCCUCCGUCUCCUUCCAGCCGCCAUCAUGAUCAUCUACCGGGACCUCAUCAGCCAUGAUGAGAUGUUCUCCGACAUCUACAAGAUCCGGGAGAUCGCGGACGGGCUAUGCCUGGAGGUAGAGGGGAAGAUGGUCAGUAGGACAGAGGGUAACAUUGAUGACUCGCUUAUUGGUGGAAAUGCCUCCUCUGAAGGCCCUGAGGGCGAAGGUACCGAAAGCACAGUAGUCACUGGUGUUGACAUUGUCAUGAACCAUCACUUGCAGGAAACCAGCUUCACAAAAGAAGCCUACAAGAAGUACAUCAAAGAUGACAUGAAAUCAAUCAAAGGGAAGCUUGGAGAACAGAGACCAGAAAGAGUAAAGCCUUUUAUGACAGGGGCUGCAGAACAAAUCAAGCACAUCCUUGCCAAUUUCAAAAACUACCAGUUCUUCAUUGGUGAAAACAUGAAUCCAGAUGGCAUGGUUGCUCUGCUGGACUACCGUGAGGAUGGUGUGACCCCAUAUAUGAUUUUCUUUAAGGAUGGUUUAGAAAUGGAAAAAGGUUAACAAAUUGGGCAGUUUGGCUCCAUCACCUGUCAUCGUAACUGGCUGCUGCUUUUCAUCCACACACCAAGACUAGGACAAAUGGGACUGAUGUUAUCUUGAGCUCUUCAUUUAUUUUGACCUUGAUUCAUUUGGAGCGGAGGCAUUGUUUUUAAGAAAAGAUGUCAUGUAGGUUGUCUAAAAAUAAAAUGCAUUUAAAUUCAAAAAAAAAAAA